rnacentral:rRNA from 1 species
UUGAAAGGGAAACGAUUGAAGUCAGUCGUACCGACGAGAAAUCAACUUAUCGUGUGCGAACUUGUGGGCGUGCGUGAGUUUCGGCCUCGCUGUUUGCAUGUUUGUGUGCUUUGGGUGUACUUUUUCGUAUGGUAGGCCAACGUCAGUUUCGAUCACUAUAAAAUGACUGGCGGAAUGUAGCUUCGAUUUCGGUUGAAGUGUUAUAGCCUCUGGUAGAUGUGGUGAUUGGGAUCGAGGAUUGCAACGAAUACCCUUCUGGGCUAUCCGUCUGACCUCUGAAAGUCGCUCGGGUGUCGAAAGCGUGCUUAUGACAUUUUAGUUGGCGGUCAAAAGGUUAGAACGUGAUUACAUUCGUUAAGGAUGUUGACGUA